ACUCCUACGGGAGGCAGCAGUAGGGAAUCUUCCACAAUGGGCGCAAGCCUGAUGGAGCAACACCGCGUGAGUGAAGAAGGGUUUCGGCUCGUAAAGCUCUGUUGUUAAAGAAGAACACGUAUGAGAGUAACUGUUCAUACGUUGACGGUAUUUAACCAGAAAGUCACGGCUAACUACGUGCCAGCAGCCGCGGUAAUACGUAGGUGGCAAGCGUUAUCCGGAUUUAUUGGGCGUAAAGAGAGUGCAGGCGGUUUUCUAAGUCUGAUGUGAAAGCCUUCGGCUUAACCGGAGAAGUGCAUCGGAAACUGGAUAACUUGAGUGCAGAAGAGGGUAGUGGAACUCCAUGUGUAGCGGUGGAAUGCGUAGAUAUAUGGAAGAACACCGGUGGCGAAGGCGGCUACCUGGUCUGCAACUGACGCUGAGACUCGAAAGCAUGGUAGCGACAGGAUUAGAUA
rnacentral:rRNA from 1 species